CUGUGGGUGUCCACUCAUUCCUUCAGCCCGGAAUGGAUGGAGGCUGAAUGCAGCAAGGAAAGCAAGAAUUUAUUUUAUUUCAGGCACAGGUUGCUCUGCCCAGGAUGAUGGAUCCAGGAAUGCCGCUUUUCCCAGAGGUUGGGUGGCAGCUGGGUGUAGGAUUUGCUCGAAUGCCCUUUGUUUAGGCCAGGGGAGCCCUGGGUGAAGGUGAGCAGAGGCAAGGACUGCGAUGUUUUCAGCCAAGAGUUAACUUUCUUUUUGUACUGGAAGUUUCCUUCUCCAUGUCUCCACCUUCAUCUGCUGCCACUCAGGAAAUCCGUGGACAUCAAUGGGCAAACUGAGGGAGUCAGAUGCUACAAAGAGAAGACAAGAGAGGAGGCCCAGCUCCAGGCCCCCUCUUAGCCCUGCAAUGAGCAGUCCAGGACAGCUGGCACUAAUUGGCACUUUCCUUGGCGGCAGAUGAAGUGUGGAGGAGACAAUGGGGCCUGGGCUGGCUCCUCGUGCCUGGAGGUGAUCCCCAGUGCUGAGACCAAAGCUCACUGAGAGCACAGCGAGGAGAAGCUGCAGCGCUCAGGGAAGAAAAGCCUAAGUCUGGAGUGUCAGUCCACGUGCACAGGACGUGUGCCCACCAGCAGGACACAUGGUGGCAAGCCCAGGGGCACAUGUGAAGAGACAGCAGAGCUGCUGGCCACUGAGCGCCAGUGGUGUGGCAAAGCCCGUGGUCACAUCGUCUGGCCACGAGCAGCGGGUCGAGCCCAUGACUCCAGUGAAACACUCAGCAUCAGGCUUCCUGCAGCGUGCCUCGCUGGGAGCUCACAGCAGGAGGGGAAAGGGCUUAUGGAAAGCUCUGUGCAGUGGUGGCGUUGCUUCACGCCAGGCUGGGAAGAAAUGUAAAGCCGUGACACCUGGAGCACGAACAGGCAGCUAGAAAGGACAGGCAAGAGCAGAAGACUUCUUCAUAACAGGACAUCACUUGGCAAGGAGGGAUAAAGAAAACAUAACUUCUUUUUAAGAAAUGAAAUUAUCAUGUAACUUCUGGAUUGUAUUAUAACAGAGAUUUUUGUGUGGAUGAGCAGUAAUUCCAUCAGCACUGCACUUUUUUUGGUGAGAAUUAUAUUUAUUAUCUAUUGGGAGCUCAGAGACACCGUUUCCUUUUGAACUUCGUGAACAAAUUCAAAUAGGGAGGGGGAGAAAAACCAUCCCCACUUUUCAAAAACUUCUCCAUGGUCAAAGGGGCCCUGAGCUUAAGCUGCACUGAAGCUCUGAGCCAGCUGCAGCAGCAUCCCAGCAGUGUGACAUCUGAACCCCUGUGUUUAGGAUUACCACCCAGGUUCUACAAAACUGAAGAUACUUUUUUAAUUAUUUCAUGAAACGCAAGCCAAGUAAACGCAAUGAUGCUCUCCUUGUUUGUCCCCUGGAGUGGGAACACACAGUUUAGGCUUUGAUGCCUUCCCUUGUUCCUCAGCACAAUCAGGAGAAGCAGCUGAAGACUUGGAAGCUGCAAGGAUGAAGUGGAGCUCUCAGGCAGUAACCAGAGCUGAGCUGAGGGAAAACAGCUGCGAGCUGGACACCAGCAGUGUCCAGUGCUGUCCUCAGUGAGUGAUGGGAGAAGUGGUCCUUCACCUCAGGAGGUCCUCAGCCCUGCCAGGGCUGGGAUUUGUCCCCACUCCAGCGCUGCCUGGUGUGGCCGUGCAGUUCUGCUGCAGCUGGAGAAAUGAGCCUCAUGGUGAAGAGGAGGUGGGGAGGGAGAGGAGCUCGGCAGCCCGGCAGGAUAACGAGCUCACAGAAUGCAAAUGCACGUUUGAGCUGGAGCUCCCACACAGCCACAGCCUCCUGGCAGCGCCCAGACACACACAGACAUGUGGAGUCAGAAUCAUUGAAUAAUUCGGGGUGGGAGGCAGCUUUAAAGGUCAUCCAGCCCAACCUCCCUGCAAUGAGUAGGGACAUCUUCAACCAGAUCAGGUUGCUCAGAGCCCUGUCCAACCUGACCUUGAAUGUUUCUGAAGGUGGGGCAUCCACUGCCUCUUCGGGCAGCCUAUUCCUAUGUAAAACACCCUCACUGCGAAAUAAGUUCUUCCUUAUAUCUAAUCUAAAUUGACCCUCUUUUAGUUUAAAAACCAUUAUCCCUUGUCCUGUUGCUACAGGUCCUGCUGAAAGUCUGCCCCUAUCUUUCUUAUUUAAACCCCCUUUAAAUGCUGAAAAAGCAGCAAUGAGGUCACCCCAAAGCCUUCUCUUCCCUAGGCUGAA